UCCCUGGUGGUCCAGUGGUUAAGACUCUGCACUUCUACUGCAGGGGGCCCAGGUCCCAUCCCUGAUCAGGGAA
rfam:Ovis aries breed Texel chromosome 11, whole genome shotgun sequence.